CUUGCUAUUUUUUAACCAUGUAUAGCAACUUUACACUACAAGGAGGGUGUUGAAUCUGCCUGUGUGUGACUAAUAGUAAGUUAACACCAUUUUAUUAACUAUGGUUACUACGGUUAAAAAAAAACAUAAGAGAUCAAAUUUGUUGCACUUAUAUUUACUAUGUAAAAGAGAUUGCAUUUGUUGUAUUUGAGCCAAUUCUUUCAUGUCAAAAUUCUAAAUAGCCUGGUCGUCAGAAUUUAUCUCAGAAUAUGAUUAAUAAUUAUCACAGAUAUUUGUAUCUUUAUCUGCAAAAACACAUUUUAUCUUCUAUUUUGUUUAUAUUCUAAAUGAUUAUAAACAAAAUUUAGAUAGGCUACCUGAAAUACCUUUCCAAACUAUGCUGCUCCCCCUAGUGGUGAAGUUUGGUAACGCGCAGAGAAGCGCGCAUCUAUAAGCUAUUGCUGCUUUAGUGAGACAUCAGUGCAUGUAUGCUUCUGCACAGUAUUUAAAAUGUGUUUCACAAGUUAUAGAUAUCUGGCAUUUAAUCAGUAUAUCUACACUCUGCUUUUAAUCCAAGUGUGCAUCAUUUCAGGUCCGUGUUCAAUUUGAGAGCAAGCCUUCAUGACAUCCUGCCUAAGAAAGACAAAAAUAAAGAGUCACUUCAUGGAGUUCAGUGCCUUGUCUCAGGGAGGAUUCAGCUAUUCUCUGGACUCACUCUGCAUGCCCAAAAGAGUUCCCGACCCCAACAGCGUCCAAAUGUGGUACUACCAUGUAGCAAAAACACCUAGAACACACAGUUAUAUAGAAGUCUUUAGUUUGUGGUAUAGAAACUUCUACUUGUAUGCAUAAAAUAAUGUUACAAAAAUUUACAGUUGCUCUGUGAAAAUCUGUGGGCGAUAUAUAUAGUCAUUUCAAUAGAAAAUCACACGAUUGGGAAUUUUGUGUCUAAGGGCAUAGGUUCAAGUUUUUCACUCAAAUUUGUGUUGACCAACAAAAUGCAGCUUAGGAUGAAAGUGAAUUCUGUGUGAGCAGUGCUUCCAGUGUUUGGAAGGUUACUUUAGAAAUGUAAUAGGCUACAGAUUACAAGUUACCCUAUUUAAAAUGUAAUAAGU
rnacentral:lncRNA from 1 species